rnacentral:rRNA from 1 species
GUGGUAAUGCCGGAUGCUCCAGUUGAUCGCAUGGUCUUCUGGGAAAGCUUUCGCGGUAUGGGAUGGGGUCGCGUCCUAUCAGCUUGACGGCGGGGUAACGGCCCACCGUGGCUUCGACGGGUAGCCGGCCUGAGAGGGCGACCGGCCACAUUGGGACUGAGAUACGGCCCAGACUCCUACGGGAGGCAGCAGUGGGGAAUAUUGCACAAUGGGCGCAAGCCUGAUGCAGCGACGCCGCGUGAGGGAUGGAGGCCUUCGGGUUGUAAACCUCUUUUAUCGGGGAGCAAGCGAGAGUGAGUCUACCCGUUGAAUAAGCACCGGCUAACUACGUGCCAGCAGCCGCGGUAAUACGUAGGGUGCAAGCGUUAUCCGGAAUUAUUGGGCGUAAAGGGCUCGUAGGCGGUUCGUCGCGUCCGGUGUGAAAGUCCAUCGCUUAACGGUGGAUCCGCGCCGGGUACGGGCGGGCUUGAGUGCGGUAGGGGAGACUGGAAUUCCCGGUGUAACGGUGGAAUGUGUAGAUAUCGGGAAGAACACCA